rnacentral:tRNA from 1 species
UUAAUUGAAACCAAAAAGAGGUAUAUCCCUGUUAAUGAUAUUAUUGAAUAUAAAUUCCAAUUAAG